rnacentral:rRNA from 1 species
AAAUUGAAGAGUUUGAUCAUGGCUCAGAUUGAACGCUGGCGGCAGGCCUAACACAUGCAAGUCGAACGGUAACAGGAAGCAGCUUGCUGCUUUGCUGACGAGUGGCGGACGGGUGAGUAAUGUCUGGGAAACUGCCUGAUGGAGGGGGAUAACUACUGGAAACGGUGGCUAAUACCGCAUAACGUCGCAAGACCAAAGAGGGGGACCUUCGGGCCUCUUGCCAUCAGAUGUGCCCAGAUGGGAUUAGCUGGUUGGUGAGGUAACGGCUCACCAAGGCGACGAUCCCUAGCUGGUCUGAGAGGAUGACCAGCCACACUGGAACUGAGACACGGUCCAGACUCCUACGGGAGGCAG